GAGGUGUCCCAGGUCGCUUGUGGUAGACAGCACACUCUAGCCUUUGUGCCUUCUUCAGGAAUGAUCUAUGCAUUUGGCUGUGGAACUAAAGGCCAGCUGGGAAAUGGACAUGUCUGCAGUCUUAAAUGUCCUUCUCCAGUCAAAGGCCACUGGGCAGCUUAUGAUGAGCAGAUCUCUGGUAGAGCAGAGGCCUGCACGUGUUA